CCUGACCCAACAGCUACCUAUGGGCCUCAUUCCCUUCUACACACGUUGCAACCCCAACCCCUGAUACCCUGAUCACAGCCACCAACAGAAGGAAGAGGAAAAAAGGAGUUAUCUGGUCACACGGGUAGAAGUGAAUUAAGAAGUCGAUAGGCAUUACUAUGUAUAAGUGAGAACUAAUUGAAUCAAGAAAUUGAUGACACCUGAUAUAAUGGCUGAAGGUAAAACAAAGCCAUCCAUUCUAGUUGCUGCAUCCUGAAGAUUCCAAGCUCCAGGUGAGGGCAUCCAAGCUCUUCCAUGACUCAUUAAGCAUACUCGACUUGUUCAUAUGGGAAGUUCAUCCAUGCAUGCAGAAGAAAAAACAACUAACAGCAGGGUUUUCAGUACUCAGCAGGGUAAAAAGUUGUUAUAUUUGUGCUGCCAAAGCUUUUCUGGUUGUUGUUUACUCAGUUUGGAAUUUUUAGUUACCCUUGUACAUGAAAAAAAGAAACUAAAAAGCCCUGUGGAUUUCAAGCUAUGGUGGAGUGUUCCACAGGGAAGUCUCAAGUACAUGCUUGAUUGAUUGUCAUUGUCUUUAGUACUAUUUGUUUUUCUUUAAAAUUUUAAUUAUUAUGAAUAUAUAAUAAUUAUACACACUUAUGGAGUACAGGUGAUAUUCAUACAAUGAUCUCAUGAAAGAUACCUCCUCACGCCUUAGGAGAGCCAAUACUGUCAAUACCAAUACCUCCUAAAGCUGUAUUUUUUCUUUAAUUUCUCUUAAGUUCUAAUAAGGCAAAUACUCGAAGUCUAGUUCAUAUCUGAAUGGAGAGCUGUGUAAAGAGCAUACAAAUCCUACAGAAUAAUGAUUUUCUAACUUACUGGCAUAUUGAAAUAAGUUGUGUCAGAGGCAUUUCAACCAGAGCAACUCCAUCUUGGGUAGGGGCUGAGUGAAAUAAGGCUGAGACCUGCUGGGCUGCAUUCCCAGUAGGUCACACAUUCUUCUCUUUUUCUUUUUUGAGAUGGAGUUUCACUCUUGUUACCUAGGCUGGAG
rnacentral:lncRNA from 1 species